rnacentral:rRNA from 1 species
AAAUUGAAGAGUUUGAUCAUGGCUCAGAUUGAACGCUGGCGGCAGGCCUAACACAUGCAAGUCGAACGGUAACAGGAAGAAGCUUGCUUCUUUGCUGACGAGUGGCGGACGGGUGAGUAAUGUCUGGGAAACUGCCUGAUGGAGGGGGAUAACUACUGGAAACGGUAGCUAAUACCGCAUAACGUCGCAAGACCAAAGAGGGGGACCUUCGGGCCUCUUGCCAUCGGAUGUGCCCAGAUGGGAUUAGCUAGUAGGUGGGGUAACGGCUCACCUAGGCGACGAUCCCUAGCUGGUCUGAGAGGAUGACCAGCCACACUGGAACUGAGACACGGUCCAGACUCCUACGGGAGGCAGCAGUGGGGAAUAUUGCACAAUGGGCGCAAGCCUGAUGCAGCCAUGCCGCGUGUAUGAAGAAGGCCUUCGGGUUGUAAAGUACUUUCAGCGGGGAGGAAGGGAGUAAAGUUAAUACCUUUGCUCAUUGACGUUACCCGCAGAAGAAGCACCGGCUAACUCCGUGCCAGCAGCCGCGGUAAUACGGAGGGUGCAAGCGUUAAUCGGAAUUACUGGGCGUAAAGCGCACGCAGGCGGUUUGUUAAGUCAGAUGUGAAAUCCCCGGGCUCAACCUGGGAACUGCAUCUGAUACUGGCAAGCUUGAGUCUCGUAGAGGGGGUAGAAUUCCAGGUGUAGCGGUGAAAUGCGUAGAGAUCUGGAGGAAUACCGGUGGCGAAGGCGGCCCCCUGGACGAAGACUGACGCUCAGGUGCGAAAGCGUGGGGAGCAAACAGGAUUAGAUACCCUGGUAGUCCACGCCGUAAACGAUGUCGACUUGGAGGUUGUGCCCUUGAGGCGUGGCUUCCGGAGCUAACGCGUUAAGUCGACCGCCUGGGGAGUACGGCCGCAAGGUUAAAACUCAAAUGAAUUGACGGGGGCCCGCACAAGCGGUGGAGCAUGUGGUUUAAUUCGAUGCAACGCGAAGAACCUUACCUGGUCUUGACAUCCACAGAACUUUCCAGAGAUGGAUUGGUGCCUUCGGGAACUGUGAGACAGGUGCUGCAUGGCUGUCGUCAGCUCGUGUUGUGAAAUGUUGGGUUAAGUCCCGCAACGAGCGCAACCCUUAUCCUUUGUUGCCAGCGGUCCGGCCGGGAACUCAAAGGAGACUGCCAGUGAUAAACUGGAGGAAGGUGGGGAUGACGUCAAGUCAUCAUGGCCCUCACGACCAGGGCUACACACGUGCUACAAUGGCGCAUACAAAGAGAAGCGACCUCGCGAGAGCAAGCGGACCUCAUAAAGUGCGUCGUAGUCCGGAUUGGAGUCUGCAACUCGACUCCAUGAAGUCGGAAUCGCUAGUAAUCGUGGAUCAGAAUGCCACGGUGAAUACGUUCCCGGGCCUUGUACACACCGCCCGUCACACCAUGGGAGUGGGUUGCAAAAGAAGUAGGUAGCUUAACCUUCGGGAGGGCGCUUACCACUUUGUGAUUCAUGACUGGGGUGAAGUCGUAACAAGGUAACCGUAGGGGAACCUGCGGUUGGAUCACCUCCUUA